UAAUACGUAGGGGGCAAGCGUUGUCCGGAAUCAUUGGGCGUAAAGCGCGCGUAGGCGGCCCUGUAAGUCCGUUGUGAAAGUCAAAGGCUCAACCUUUGAAAGCCGAUGGAUACUGCAGGGCUAGAGUCCGGAAGAGGCGAGUGGAAUUCCUGGUGUAGCGGUGGAAUGCGCAGAUAUCAGGAGGAACACCAAUAGCGAAGGCAGCUCGCUGGGACGGUACUGACGC
rnacentral:rRNA from 1 species